GACGUAGGGCGCGAGCGUUGUCCGGAUUUAUUGGGCGUAAAGAGCGUGUAGGCGGCUUGGUAGGUCUGCUGUGAAAACUCGGGGCUCAACCCCGAGACGUCGGUGGAAACCACCUGGCUAGAGUCCGGAAGAGGAAAGUGGAAUUCCGCGUGUAGUGGUGAAAUGCGUAGAGAUGCGGAGGAACACCGGUGGCGAAGGCGGGUCUCUGGGCCGAUACUGACGCUGAGGAGCGAAAGCGUGGGGAGCAAACAGG
rnacentral:rRNA from 1 species